rnacentral:rRNA from 1 species
AAGCUCUGUUGUUAGGGAAGAACAAGUACCGUUUGAAUAAGGCGGUACCUUGACGGUACCUAACGAGAAAGCCACGGCUAACUACGUGCCAGCAGCCGCGGUAAUACGUAGGUGGCAAGCGUUGUCCGGAAUUAUUGGGCGUAAAGCGCGCGCAGGCGGUCCUUUAAGUCUGAUGUGAAAGCCCACGGCUCAACCGUGGAGGGUCAUUGGAAACUGGGGGACUUGAGUACAGAAGAGGAGAGUGGAAUUCCACGUGUAGCGGUGAAAUGCGUAGAGAUGUGGAGGAACACCAGUGGCGAAGGCGGCUCUCUGGUCUGUAACUGACGCUGAGGCGCGAAAGCGUGGGUAGCGAACAGGAUUAGAUACCCUGGUAGCCCACGCCGUAAACGAUGAGUGCUAAGUGUUAGAGGGUUUCCGCCCUUUAGUGCUGCAGCAAACGCAUUAAGCACUCCGCCUGGGGAGUACGGCCGCAAGGCUGAAACUCAAAGGAAUUGACGGGGGCCCGCACAAGCGGUGGAGCAUGUGGUUUAAUUCGAAGCAACGCGAAGAACCUUACCAGGUCUUGACAUCCUCUGCCACUCCUAGAGAUAGGACGUUCCCCUUCGGGGGACAGAGUGACA